rnacentral:rRNA from 1 species
UACGUAGGUGGCAAGCGUUGUCCGGAUUUAUUGGGUUUAAAGGGUGCGUAGGCGGUUCCAUAAGUCAGUGGUGAAAUACGGCAGCUCAACUGCCGAGGUGCCAUUGAUACUGCGGAACUUGAGUGUUGAUGAGGCAGGCGGAAUUGACGGUGUAGCGGUGAAAUGCUUAGAUAUCGUCAAGAACACCGAUAGCGAAGGCAGCUUGCCAAGCAACAACUGACGCUCAGGCACGAAAGUGCGGGGAUCAAACAGG